AGUGAACGCUGGCGGUAGGCCUAACACAUGCAAGUCGAACGGCAGCACAGUAAGAGCUUGCUCUUACGGGUGGCGAGUGGCGGACGGGUGAGGAAUACAUCGGAAUCUACUUUUUCGUGGGGGAUAACGUAGGGAAACUUACGCUAAUACCGCAUACGACCUACGGGUGAAAGCAGGGGAUCUUCGGACCUUGCGCGAUUGAAUGAGCCGAUGUCGGAUUAGCUAGUUGGCGGGGUAAAGGCCCACCAAGGCGACGAUCCGUAGCUGGUCUGAGAGGAUGAUCAGCCACACUGGAACUGAGACACGGUCCAGACUCCUACGGGAGGCAGCAGUGGGGAAUAUUGGACAAUGGGCGCAAGCCUGAUCCAGCCAUACCGCGUGGGUGAAGAAGGCCUUCGGGUUGUAAAGCCCUUUUGUUGGGAAAGAAAAGCAGCAGGUUAAUACCCCGCUGUUCUGACGGUACCCGAAGAAUAAGCACCGGCUAACUCCGUG
rnacentral:rRNA from 1 species